UGGGGAAUUUUGGACAAUGGGCGCAAGCCUGAUCCAGCCAUGCCGCGUGCGGGAAGAAGGCCUUCGGGUUGUAAACCGCUUUUGUCAGGGAAGAAAUCCCUUGAGCUAAUACCUCGGGGGGAUGACGGUACCUGAAGAAUAAGCACCGGCUAACUACGUGCCAGCAGCCGCGGUAAUACGGAGGGGGCGAGCGUUAUUCGGAAUUACUGGGCGUAAAGCGUGCGCAGGCGGUUAUGUAAGACAGUUGUGAAAUCCCCGGGCUCAACCUGGGAAUUGCAUCUGUGACUGCAUAGCUAGAGUACGGUAGAGGGGGAUGGAAUUCCGCGUGUAGCAGUGAAAUGCGUAGAUAUGCGGAGGAACACCGAUGGCGAAGGCAAUCCCCUGGACCUGUACUGACGCUCAUGCACGAAAGCGUGGGGAGCAAA
rnacentral:rRNA from 1 species